AUUGAACGCUGGCGGAAUGCUUUACACAUGCAAGUCGAACGGCAGCACGGACUUCGGUCUGGUGGCGAGUGGCGAACGGGUGAGUAAUGUAUCGGAACGUGCCCAGUCGUGGGGGAUAACGUAGUGAAAAUUACGCUAAUACCGCAUACGAUCUAUGGAUGAAAGCGGGGGAUCGCAAGACCUCGCGCGAUUGGAGCGGCCGAUAUCAGAUUAGGUAGUUGGUGGGGUAAAGGCCCACCAAGCCAACGAUCUGUAGCUGGUCUGAGAGGACGACCAGCCACACUGGAACUGAGACACGGUCCAGACUCCUACGGGGGGCAGCAGUGGGGAAUUUUGGACAAUGGGCGAAAGCCUGAUUCAGCCAUUUCGCGUGCAGGAUGAAGGCCCUCGGGUUGUAAACUGCUUUUGUACAGAACGAAAAGGUUUCUACUAAUACUAGGAGCUCAUGACGGUACUGUAAGAAUAAGCACCGGCUAACUACGUGCCAGCCGCCGCAGUAA
rnacentral:rRNA from 1 species